AAAGUGCGAUAAGUCAUGUGAAUUGCGGAAUUCGUGAAUCAUCAAAUCUUUGAACGCAAAUGGCACCAAUCUCUGAUUGGUACGUCUGUUUGAGUGUUGGUUUUACCUUCUUCUUACUCACUCAUAUCUUGAUAUGUUGAUAGAGGAGAGAUGAAUGUCUUCCAAGGGAGUCAUUUUAAAUCCAACUCAUCUUGUCACUCAUUGUGUAUCCCUGCGAUCUCUGAUGUGAUGUACAAGAUCUCUCAACAUCUACUUGUUGAUCAACCUCAAAUCAGACGAGAUUACCCGCUGAAUUUAA
rnacentral:misc_RNA from 1 species